CCUACGGGUGGCUGCAGUGGGGAAUAUUGGACAAUGGGCGAAAGCCUGAUCCAGCCAUGCCGCGUGUGUGAAGAAGGCCUUCGGGUUGUAAAGCACUUUCAGUGGGGAAGAAAGCCUUGGGGCUAAUACCCUCGAGGAAGGACAUCACCCACAGAAGAAGCACCGGCUAACUCCGUGCCAGCAGCCGCGGUAAUACGGAGGGUGCGAGCGUUAAUCGGAAUUACUGGGCGUAAAGCGCGCGUAGGCGGUCUGAUAAGCCGGUUGUGAAAGCCCCGGGCUCAACCUGGGAACGGCAUCCGGAACUGUCAGGCUAGAGUGCAGGAGAGGAAGGUAGAAUUCCCGGUGUAGCGGUGAAAUGCGUAGAGAUCGGGAGGAAUACCAGUGGCGAAGGCGGCCUUCUGGACUGACACUGACGCUGAGGUGCGAAAGCGUGGGUAGCAAACAGGAUUAGAUACCCUCGUAGUC
rnacentral:rRNA from 1 species